GAUGAACGCUGGCGGCGUGCCUAAUACAUGCAAGUCGAGCGAACAGACGAGGAGCUUGCUCCUCUGACGUUAGCGGCGGACGGGUGAGUAACACGUGGAUAACCUCCCUAUAAGACUGGGAUAACUUCGGGAAACCGGAGCUAAUACCGGAUAAUAUAUUGAACCGCAUGGUUCAAUAGUGAAAGACGGUUUUGCUGUCACUUAUAGAUGGAUCCGCGCCGCAUUAGCUAGUUGGUAAGGUAACGGCUUACCAAGGCGACGAUGCGUAGCCGACCUGAGAGGGUGAUCGGCCACACUGGAACUGAGACACGGUCCAGACUCCUACGGGAGGCAGCAGUAGGGAAUCUUCCGCAAAGGGCGAAAGCCUGACGGAGCAACGCCGCGUGAGUGAUGAAGGUCUUCGGAUCGUAAAACUCUGUUAUUAGGGAAGAACAAAUGUGUAAGUAACUAUGCACGUCUUGACGGUACCUAAUCAGAAAGCCACGGCUAACUACGUG
rnacentral:rRNA from 1 species